AGAGGAAGCCUUCAGGAUGUGCUAGCUUCUUUAUGAUAUAUGUGAAACUAUGAAGGAGCUAAUUUCUUCUUUUAAAAACCCCAUAGCUGGCAAAGUUCAUCUACUGUUAAUCCCCAGAAAGCCUGUUCACGUAUCUACUUUAUUACAACUCCAAGCAAAUAAGAUAGACAACAGUCUCCUUCUGGUGCAGUAACAUUUUUAUACCCCUCGAAUAAUAAAUCUCUCCCAGCCACCAAUGACAGCUGGAAAGUGUGCAUCUCUGACCUGGAGCAUCUUUGGGGAAACACUUGGCUAAAUGAUGAGAUCCUCCUUGAACAAUGUUUGAUUUUCUUCCCCUUUCCCCCUUUCUGUUCUUUGUCCCCAUAACACUGUGAAUAGUGACAUUGGAAGGAACCUUGAAAAGUCAUCUGUUCACAAAAUUGUUAGUGUUGAUCAUCCCCAGGGUACGGUGAGGCAGAGGAACAGAUUCUAUUUUUUUAUUUCAUUUAUGUCUAAGUUGGAUUUUUCCCCAUGAUCUGUUGCACAAUAAAAAUAGAAAAAGUAUUUUUAAGCUUCCUAGGUUUUCUCUUUGUCUUCUCAUGGAGGAAGAGGAUAGAAAGAUAUAAGCAGUGAUAAGAAUGAAGGGAGAGGCUAUAGCAAGAAAUAUACUUAUGAG
rnacentral:lncRNA from 1 species